GACUCAGCCUGGAAGUGGGAAAAAAUAGUAAAUAAACAUCGUUAUACCCUCUGUGAGGUUCAAACUGAGCCUGUGAGGUUACAACACAGUCACAGAACAGUUUCCAACGUUGUCAUUGUGCUGGAGGUUGAUAAAUUGGGGCUUCAUUGUGUGGAGCAAGUGUGGGACAGUGGCAAAGUGGGUGCAGGGACAUCUCACCUUCACCUGGUCACCGGUGACAUGGGACACAGCUGUGGGACACAGUACCCUUGGCAUGUGUGUCCCUCCCUGCUCACAGCCCUGGGCAAGGCCAGCCCUGCCACCAAAUUACUGUCACACACACAGCCCUGGGCAAGGGCAGGCACAGUCCCUAAUUGCCACACACACCCCCUGUGUCCCCAUGCCACACACAUCCUGUGCCAGCCCUGUCCCCAGGUCACACACUUAGACCCACUGCCAGCCCAGUCCUGUCCCCAUGUCCCCAGGUCACACACAACACACGCACCCUGUGCCAGUCCUGUCCCAUUGUCACAAAGUUACACCCAGUGCCAGGCCAGCCCUGUCCCAUUGUCGCACACAAACACAGUGCCAGCCCUAUUCCCCAGCCCUGUCCCCAUGGCACACACACACCUGUCCCUGUGCCAGACACAAACUGUGCCAGCCCUGUCCUCAUGUCAUAUACACCUCCAGCGCCAGCCCAGCCCUGUCCCCAAGUCCCCAUGUCACACACACACCUGUCCCCACGCCACACACCCUCAGUGCAGCCCAGCCCUGUCCCCCUGUCACACAUACGGUGCCAGCCCAGCCCUGUCCCCAAGUCCCCAUGUCACACACACACCUGUCUCCAUGUCACACCCCCGCUGUGCCAGCCCAGCCCUGCCCCCAUGUCCCCUUGUCACACACACACACACACACCCCUGUCCCCAUGUGCCCAUGUCACACUCACCCCUCUCAUACACACCUCUGUCCCUGUGCCACACGCACACUUGUCCCCAUGUCACACCCCCUGCGCCAGGCCAGCCCUGUCCCCAAGUCCCCAGGUCACACACAAACCUGUGCCCAUGUCGCACACCCCCUGUGCUAGCCCUGUCCCCGUGUCACACCGCCCCUGUGCCAGCCCAGCCCUGUCUGUCUGUCUGUCUGUCCCCGUGUCCGCCCGGUCGGCCCGGGCGCGCGCCCCUCACCUGCCGCCGCGCGCCCGUCACCGCCGGCACCCAAAACAU
rnacentral:lncRNA from 1 species